GACGAACGCUGGCGGCGCGCCUAACACAUGCAAGUCGAACGAGCGAGAGAGAGUUUACUUUUUCGAGCGAGUGGCGAACGGGUGAGUAACGCGUGAGGAACCUGCCUCAAAGAGGGGGACAACAGUUGGAAACGACUGCUAAUACCGCAUAAGCCCACAGCUCGGCAUCGAGCAGAGGGAAAAGGAGCAAUCCGCUUUGAGAUGGCCUCGCGUCCGAUUAGCUAGUUGGUGAGGUAAUGGCCCACCAAGGCGACGAUCGGUAGCCGGACUGAGAGGUUGAACGGCCACAUUGGGACUGAGACACGGCCCAGACUCCUACGGGAGGCAGCAGUGGGGAAUAUUGCACAAUGGGGGGAAACCCUGAUGCAGCGACGCCGCGUGGAGGAAGAAGGUCUUCGGAUUGUAAACUCCUGUUGUUGAGGAAGAUGAUGACGGUACUCAACAAGGAAGUGACGGCUAACUACGUG
rnacentral:rRNA from 1 species